rnacentral:lncRNA from 1 species
GGAAGAGAUGGGAGAAACAGUGAGCCAGAGCAGGGACCUGCGUCAGCCACUGGGAGGGCAUCACCUCCCAGCUGCCUUCUCAGGAGCUCCUGGAGGUGCCUGCUUGACUGAGGAUCAAGUGAUCCAGAGGGACCAUGCAGAAGCAGCCCUGGCACAGUGUAAUUUCUAUAAUAUCCAUGUAAAGUGGCCUGAAGCUCCAGAACUGACCUUCUGUGACUCUGUCAACAAACAGUGAUCCUGCAGUCAUCAGGUAUCAGCUGGCUCACGUCACAGAGGCACCAACAUGAAGCAGUGUGCCCAGUGAGGAUGUCGGGAGGAAAUUCCAGCUGGCAUAAGACUGGAACCCUCUUCUCAUCUCCUCUUGAAGCAUGUAGAGUGCUGCUGUGUGCCAGACAUCCCUAUGGAGUGUUUUGUACCUGAGACUGCUUUGCAAGUAGGACAAACCAUGGUGGAGCUUGUGCAGCCAGAGUCGCUCACCAGGGAUGGGUGAGCAACCUGUGGAAUGUGGAGAGCAAAGGUGGUGAGUUAGAAUCUUCAUUUCCCCACUUCCCCAAAUUCUUUUUUCCUGGGAGCUGGGCUUCUCACCCAGGCUGGCACUGAGGUUUUAUUGGUGUGAGACUGGAAGCCAGCUCAGACUGCCACUGCAGAGACUGCUCUUCCCAAUUAGCUGAGAAGACAGGUCUCUAGCAGGACAAAGGGCUUCUCACCAGGAGAAAGAGCUCUCAAAUUGUCAAAGCAAAUCCUAUCUAAGCUGAGAACAAAGAGACUGCUGAGACUGCUGGAUGGGUUAUGAUUUUUAAUACUCCAAAGAGAUGCCUUUCUGAAAAGACUUUUAUUAAAAAAACCCAAACAACCACGAGUGUGAACAAAUCAUGAAGAUUCAGUCUUGGCCUGGAAAGAAAAGAGGUAGCAUGCAUGGCCCAGCAACUAUCCUAAAACCCCUGUGGCAAGCAAUAAUCUUGAAAAAGCCAGUGCAAGCUAUGUUUUCAAUUUAUAAAUUAAAUGUGUUUAAAAUUUAUGAACUUUGACUGCACAAGUAACUACUUCAUUAGACUUUAGGGCUGCAUGUUUCCUUGGCUUUUUUCACGGUAAAGUAAAACACAUUUCUAAUAAACAUGGAAAGAGAUUCCA